rnacentral:lncRNA from 1 species
GAUUUGUCAUUGAGAAUGAUGACACAACCCACAUCAUUGAGAAUGAUGAGCCUACAAUCUAUUCGAAAGCUGUCAUGAGUAGUGACUCUGACAAGGGCUUAAUGCCAUAAAAUCUGAAAUAGACUCCAUAUAUACCAACCAAGUUUGGACGUUGGUUGAUGCACUUGAGAGUGUGACCCCAAUAGGUUACAAAUGGAUCUUCAAAAAGAAAAUUGGAGUAG